rnacentral:rRNA from 1 species
GAUGAACGCUAGCGACAGGCCUAACACAUGCAAGUCGAGGGGCAGCACAUGAGCAGCAAUACGAUGGUGGCGACCGGCGCACGGGUGAGUAACACGUAUGCAACCUGCCUUCUACUAUGGGAUAACCCGUUGAAAGACGGACUAAUACCGUAUAAUACAGGGGCUCCGCAUGGAGAUAUUUGUUAAAGAUGUAUUGGUAGAGAUGGGGCAUGAGUAUGAUUAGAUAGUUGGUGAGGUAACGGCUCACCAAGUAAACGAUCAUUAGGGGUUCUGAGAAGCAGGUACCCCACACUGGUGAUGAGGCACGGACCAGACUCCUACGGGGGGCAGCAGUGAGGAAUAUUGGUGAAUGGACGAGGGUCUGAACCAGCCAAGUCGCGUGAAGGAAGACGGUUCUAUGAAUUGUAAACUUCUUUUGUGCAGGAAUAAAGUGGGUUACGUGUGACCUUUUGUAUGUACUGUACGAAUAAGGAUCGGCUAACUCCGUGCCAGCAGCCGCGGUAAAAC